GUUCAUUUUUUUCUGCAGUGGAAUAAAAUAUAAGUUCAUUGUAUUUUCAGGUUACUAAAAAGUUUUACAGGUCAAGCUUAUCUCAGGAGUUACAUAUACUGACACUCAGCUACAUAAAUUAUUCCCUGGGGAUAAUCUUCAGUGAGUUGCUAGGAGAUGACCAGUUUAUAUUUUCCUUUGAUUAUAGGGCAUAAACAUUCCACUGUCAAAAUACCAAAAGAAGAAAAAAAGAAGAAGAAUGAUUGCCUAACAUUUUUUUCCUGUUACUCACAGUGAGAUAUCAGAAACCAGAAUGUUUUGCACCACAGGAAGGGACCCAGGGAGCCGUGAGUAUCUCUGUGAGAAUUAUAAGGAAGAAUUACUACAGGAGCAAGGCCAAUAUCCUUCAGCAGUGGCUCAAUGUUCAACACACAGUUGGCUCUAAGCAGGCCUGCCAUGACCCAGUUAGAAUCAGAUAUGGAUGCUUGAUCUGGUAUCCAUUAGACAAGAGUACCAUAGUGAUCGGAUGCAUCUUUACCCAAUUUCCUGGAAGACAGACAGAGCAGGUAUCAGGGAAGCCUUUGAAGCUCAGACAGGGCUUCACUAUGCGGUCCAGGGUGGUCCUGAGCUCGCUGGAUAGCCCAGGCUGACCUCGAAUUCUCAGCCAUCCUCCUGCUCCUGCCUCAGCCUCCAAGUGCUGGGAUUACAGGCAUGUGCCACCGCAAUUAGCUUGUCCCUUGUAAUUGGAAGUUUUAUCUGGAUGUGAAAUACAGAUGGGGUUAGAAGCCAAAAAUGAUGGGAAACAACUUUUUUUUAGUAUAACAAGACAAUAAACCCUAGACCACAAGGUCAAAGAAGCCAAUGAUUUUGCUGUAAAGUAGAAGAAAAUACCCAGGUCUUUCUGCAUAGUAAAGCUGAUUCUGCUGUAACCUACAUUAUGAAGGAGAAAACAAAAGCUGUUUUAGGAAACUAUAAAUCACUUGAGGAAUGGCCUUGUGCCAGAAAACUGAGGUCUUUCUCUUAGAAAUUACAGACUUUUGUUCCUUAUAAUUAGGCUUUUUUGCUCAACUUCCAAAUAACUUAGAGAAAAUGAUCAUGUAAGAUUAUAAUUUUUCUUCAAAACAACCUAUGCAGUGUGCAAUAAAAUUUUGAAAGAAAAAAAAAUAAAAAGUUCCUUAGAUUUUAGCCAAAAGAAUAAUGUAAGUCAUUGAUACUUGUUGCAGUAUCGUGACUCCUGUAAAAAACGGUACAACAAAUAGAAUCUCAGAAAAAUCCACAAAAAUAAGUGAGAUCAUGUUAUGGUCACGUUAUAUCACAGAGAAAGUGAUGAAAUAGCUAUGAUCACAUAUAAGCUUCAUCUACUUAUCUGGAAAAAUCUGUCAGGCAUGCAUGGAUUACCCACGAAACUCUAGCAAAAUAAAAGUGCUCUUAAUUCUUUGGUCUCAGAAUCAUUUUUCUGCCCUAAUUAGCUGUGAAAAAUUAUAUUUAUUUUAAAUUCAUGCAGGUAUUUAAUUAGAAAAAUAGCAUUUGUAAAACUGUU